rnacentral:misc_RNA from 1 species
GAUGAAGAACGUAGCGAAAUGCGAUAAGUAGUGUGAAUUGCAGAAUUCCGUGAAUCAUCGAAUCUUUGAACGCACAUUGCGCCUUCUGGUAUUCCGGAAGGCAUGCCUGUUCGAGAGUCAUUAACAACCGUUUCGAUCCCUUUCUUUCAGAAAUUACAAAGAGGAAAAGGGUUUGGUUAUGGUGGUGGAGGGAAAGGGAGCGUUUAGCCUGUAAAAAAAGAGGCUGUGUUCCGCCUCCCCCCCAAAAUUGUACAGGCGGUCGUGUGCGCCCACGCAUCGAGGUGUUGUAAAAGCUGCCACGGCACUUUUCACCUGUGCAGUGGGAGAUUGGCCAGCCGGUUUAAAAACCCCUCCAAACAAUCAAAGGUUGACCUCGGAUCAGGUAGGGAUACCCGCUGAACUUAAGCAUAUCAAUAAGCGAGGA